rnacentral:rRNA from 1 species
AAAUUGAAGAGUUUGAUCAUGGCUCAGAUUGAACGCUGGCGGCAGGCCUAACACAUGCAAGUCGAACGGUAACAGGAAGCAGCUUGCUGCUUUGCUGACGAGUGGCGGACGGGUGAGUAAUGUCUGGGAAACUGCCUGAUGGAGGGGGAUAACUACUGGAAACGGUGGCUAAUACCGCAUAACGUCGCAAGACCAAAGAGGGGGACCUUCGGGCCUCUUGCCAUCAGAUGUGCCCAGAUGGGAUUAGCUUGUUGGUGAGGUAACGGCUCACCAAGGCGACGAUCCCUAGCUGGUCUGAGAGGAUGACCAGCCACACUGGAACUGAGACACGGUCCAGACUCCUACGGGAGGCAGCAGUGGGGAAUAUUGCACAAUGGGCGCAAGCCUGAUGCAGCCAUGCCGCGUGUAUGAAGAAGGCCUUCGGGUUGUAAAGUACUUUCAGCGGGGAGGAAGGUGUUGCGGUUAAUAACCGCAGCAAUUGACGUUACCCGCAGAAGAAGCACCGGCUAACUCCGUGCCAGCAGCCGCGGUAAUACGGAGGGUGCAAGCGUUAAUCGGAAUUACUGGGCGUAAAGCGCACGCAGGCGGUCUGUCAAGUCGGAUGUGAAAUCCCCGGGCUCAACCUGGGAACUGCAUUCGAAACUGGCAGGCUUGAGUCUUGUAGAGGGGGGUAGAAUUCCAGGUGUAGCGGUGAAAUGCGUAGAGAUCUGGAGGAAUACCGGUGGCGAAGGCGGCCCCCUGGACAAAGACUGACGCUCAGGUGCGAAAGCGUGGGGAGCAAACAGGAUUAGAUAUCCUGGUAGUCCACGCCGUAAACGAUGUCUACUUGGAGGUUGUGCCCUUGAGGCGUGGCUUCCGGAGCUAACGCGUUAAGUAGACCGCCUGGGGAGUACGGCCGCAAGGUUAAAACUCAAAUGAAUUGACGGGGGCCCGCACAAGCGGUGGAGCAUGUGGUUUAAUUCGAUGCAACGCGAAGAACCUUACCUGGUCUUGACAUCCACAGAACU